GUAGACAGUUUGUAAAGGCAGGUACCUCU
rnacentral:piRNA from 1 species